rnacentral:lncRNA from 1 species
AUGUGUCUGAGUGAUGGCUCCUGUUCAAUGAAAAAUCCAAGGGCUCCUUUGCAAAAGAGAACAUACGAAUGGCAGUUGAGACGGGUGGUGAGAAGUGAAGAGAGAAGCUUGAGCUCAAAGGAGUGGAGGCAGGACCUGGGAGCAUGGCUGCGGGGACCCUCCAGCAGGAGUGAGGAGUGGCAGACAAAGCUGAAGAUACUGGGCAUCAGAUUGGAUGGGAAGUCCCUGAACACUCAACCAGACAACCUGGAUUUCGUUCUCUGGGUGAUGAAAUGCACUGGUUAUUAUGUGAAGACUUUCCUUCUUUUGGAAAAAGAAGAAUGGUUACAAACAUUGCUGAACUUGGGAAAGGUAUAGACAUGCUUAUUUGUUGUAAAGAAAAAAAAGAAAACCCAACCUGUUUUAGUAUUUAUGGUGGAAUCAGCUGCUUUUGUUUGCCUGUCAUCCUUGUAUUUUUUACUAGUAAAAUAGCCCAUAUUUUGUGAGGGGGGAAUCACCCCUUUUCCAUUCUUAUCCAAGUGAAAGUAAUAGCUCCAGGGCUGGGCCAAUGAUCUAGAGAAUCAAAUUCCUGUAGCCCCUCUGAUUGCUUCGGGAAGGGCACAUGCUCCAAACUGGUCCAAUGAAAUAAAUCUGGGGACUCUUUUUUUCUUCUUCUUCUUUUUUUAAUGGCUGCACCCAUGGCUUAUGGAGGUUCCUGGACCAGGGAUUGAAUCUGAGCUGCAGCUGCAAUCUACGUUACGCUGCAGCUGUGGCAACACUGGAUCUUUUAACCCACUGUACCAGGCCCUAGGACUGAACCUGCACCUCUGUAGCAAUCUGAGCUACUGCAGUCAGAUUCUUAACACACUGCACCAGAGCAGGAACUCCUGGUAUAUUUUGAAUGGAAACUCUCUGAUCUAGAAUUCUGUAUUACCAUAAUAUUGCUAUGAAGUAAGCGAUCACAAAACCUCAGUGAUGUGAAUAAUAGACUUAUUUUUUUACUUACAUAUGUGUGAAUAGUGCCAAAUCUUAGGACUUUUCUAGAACUGUUGGGAAAAGGAAAAACUUACCUUUAUCAGGAAUUUCUGGAAUUACUGUAUGGCGGUAACAUCCAAAAGGAAAACGGAGUUGAGACAAGGCAGAGGGAAAGGGGGAGAGGAACGGCAGAGGGAAGGGUAAAGGGGAGGGGCUGGUUCGGGGUAUUUUUAACCACAUGGACCCCAAAUUCAUUCCUUGCUUAAGUCAGUAUGAGUUGGAUUUUUCUGUCACUUACAUCUAAGUUCUAACACAAAAUCUAUCCAGCUAUGAUCAUGUUCAAAAUGGGGCAGUUCAUCAGAUGUGAGGAGAUUCUAUGUCCUCAGAGGUACUCUGAUGGUCCCCAGGGAAAUGCAGGGUCAAUAAGAUAAGGCUCCUCUGUACAAGGAUGCUGUUCUAAACACUUGAACUUUUUCCAACUCUCAGGGACAUAAUGUCUUUUUUCUAAGCAAGAUGUUCUUCUACAAAGAUUUUUGCAAGUAAGGGGAAAAGGCUGGGGGGGGGGGAGGGAAGAGUCCUGAUUGUGUAUUGUUACUGUACAGUAAACAUAUUUCUUAACUCCCAGAGAAAUAGCUAGCACUCAGAAAAUGGGUUUUGGGGACAUGAAGAAGAAGGGCCAUUAUUAUCUAAUGAGGGCCUUAGGCAGAAUCCUUGAAGAGGGCCAAAGACUGUUACCAGAAUGACUUGGCUGAAAUUAUACUUAUGUAUUCAUUCUGAUGGAAUAUCAGGUGUGCAGUAAAAUAUUAGAUUACAUUACUAGACACUCUACUAAACAUAGAUUUUAUAUGUAUAAUUUUUUAUGGAGGGAUAAAUAUUUUAGAUUGGUACUGGCUUACACAUGAAGGCGUUUAUCUGCUUAAGAUUUCUCUUUACUAUUUCCAUAUAAUCCUUGUGUCUACCAUGCAUUCAUGCACCUGUAUCAGAGGAAAAGAACAAUGAUCCUUAUACUCUACUUCAUACAAAUUUUACAUUUUAAAGCUCCUGGAAAAUACUGUUGACUCACCAAACAUUUUAUUUUUAUUUAAAAAAUUUUUUGGCCACUCUCUGAGCAUGCAGAAAUUCCCAAGCUAAGGACUGAACCCACAUCGCAGCAGUGACCUGAGCCGCAUCAGUGAAAAUGCCAGAUUCUUAGCCGGCUGAACCACCAGGGAACUCCGUGACUCAAAAAUGUUAAAAGAACAGAUUAUCUGUUCCUUUUUUUUUUCUUUUGAAGAAAGGAAACAGUAGAGAUAGCCAGUAAUGAAUUGUCCUCAACAAGCCCAGUGAAUGCAUGUGUAUAGAAAUAUUUGCAGUACAGUGGGGUGAGAGAAUAGUAUCAUUUAGAGAAUAACAGUGUGUGGAGCAAUGAGAAGUCACUGCUCCAAGCCAGAGGGUGUCAAGAUCAGUGUCCAUCUGUAAGAGAGGCUCUUGUGAUCACCAUCAGUCACCCCAACACUGGACAGCCCCACCCCCUCACUCCAUGGUGGAAAGUCAGAUGCACAGGGCAGCCCACUGAAUUUACCGUCACUGUCUCUGUUCUAUGCAGAGUUCCUUGGGAAUGCAGUGAUAAAUGCUCCAGCUUCCACAGACCCAGCCACAGGUUUCCCAUGACAGAUAUGGCCCGGACCCCAAGGCCUUCAGGAGUCAGUGCUGUCUGAACAUACCCUCUGCCAUUUUGACCCAGGAUGCACCCACAGUGCUGGGAUUACCUGUCCAAAGAGGUUCCAGUGUUAGUGUUCUGCUCAGCUGAUCAAAGCCUUGGCACUGAACCAGGGACACCACUGCAAAUCCUCCUGGUUUAUAGCAAACUGAGUCUGAGGACUUAAUUACCCCUGCUGGCCAUCUGGGGCUUUUGAGGGCCAGCAGGCCACUUUGAUGGCACUGAUCCUGACUGUGGAGGAGUCUGCAUUAGAUGCUGAUGGAGUGUGAAAUCUCAUCUAUCCAGAGAGCUAGAGCUUGAGGCUCCACCCCUCAAACACACAGUUCUCUCCUCUCUUGGCACCUGGGUGGCUAUUUCCUUUACAUUUAUAUCACACACGGAUUAUUUGUGAAUCCCACCCCCCACCCCCGCCCCCCAAAAAGGGAAGCCAAUUCUAAAGGUAAGCUGACAUUUUCAUAAUUUAGAGAGAGAGAACUGCCAAUGAUUUUUAACCAGUUUUCAAGGUUAAAAGAAAACAGUACACUGUAUCUAUUGUAUGGUUUAAAAAGAAUCAGGCAGGAGUUCCCGCUGUGGUGCAGUGGGUUAACAAUCCAACUGCAGUGGCUUAGGUCACUGCAAGUACAGGUUUGAUCCAUGGCCCAGCACAGUGGGUUAAAGGAUCCAGUCUUGCUGCAGCUGAGGCAUAGGUCAUAGCUGCGGCUCAGAUUCAGUCCCUGAUCUGGGAACUUCCAUAUGCCAUGACUGCGGCCAUUAAAUAAACAAAUAAAUAAACAAAUAAAUAAAAUCAGGCAGUGUCAAUACCUUUAGUAUUGAAACAGUUAUGAACUAGGUUUUGAAUAAUUAAGAAGCACCUGAGGUCAUCAUUAUAGAUGCAGAGGAAUAAUUAACAGAACAUCACAAUUAAUAGAAGCCUGACUACAAGAUCAUUUGCCUAUUUAUGAUGUAAUCACAGGCAUGCUGCCAGAGCUUAAGAAGUUUGUAAAGUCAUCAUAACCUUUGCCACCUGGGAACUUUCAUAAUAUUAAGUGAAAACAUUGUCAGAACCACUGCAGUGUAACUCUGUCACUCCAUCAGUGUUUUCCCAGGUAUUGUCCGAACUCCUUGACUCCUUCAUUGUGGGUUUUGGGAGGGUAUUAAAAUAGAAAAGAACAACUUGGGGAAGGCACAAGUGUGGAAUCGGGGUUAAUGAGCCAAGUUCAGGAAAAGUGAUUUUGGGCUGGAGCAGUGGUGUCCAUGGCACUUUGUUCAGGUGUCUCAGACUCUCUGAACUGCGUAUGGGUACAAGGGGAGUAGAGAUUGUGUGGAUGAGCUGUAGACACCACUGUUGCUAUGAGCUAGGUUUGUAGCUGACCAUCUUCAUGACUUGACACUUCUUGUUUAGCUAUAGAUACGUAUAUUAGCAUUCCCUGCCAGGGAGUAGUUUUGGUUUUUU